AGAUCACUAGAUGACAAUAUUAUUGACAAAAAUGAAGACACGCUUUUUUUUGGUGAUGAUGCGGCCUACGAUGGAGCACGUUCCCUGCAUGAUUGUUGAUUGUCCCUGGGUCCCUACUUGCCCGUUAUCCAGCAAACUAAAAUGCCUCGUUAGCUUAGUGAUGUCUUAGGGCGACUUUAGCAGUUCUUCGUCCCUAUUCAUAUAAAGCUAAUAUAGUAGUACAGUGAGAGAUAAAAUAAUGGUUAUUAUUGAAGCUAAGUUCAUUGAACUUGAAUUGUACGUAGAGUUUCCGGAAACAGGAGGUCGGGGACGGGGAGGUCUGGGAGGUCGGCCACUGCCACCAGGUUUUUUUCUUGUCUCCAAUGACGUAACUGUAGGUAGCGUAGUACUAUAGUUUAAACUUGUACUGUUAUAACUUGAGGAAGUUGCAUUAUACGUGGUCGUUUCAUUAAUUGCAGUUGUCGCAUUUAUAGAGACUAUGGUCUUUUUAGCUGUGUUCACAUUGCUGAAGGGAUUUAAAACGUUCUUUGGAUCUUG